GUGAGGAAUAUUGUACAAUGGAGGAAACUCUGAUCCAGCCAUGCCGCGUGAGUGAUGAAGGCCUUCGGGUUGUAAAGCUCUUUCGGGUGUGAAAAUGAUGAUGGUAACACCAGAAGAAGCCCCGGCUAACUCCGUGCCAGCAGCCGCGGUAAUACGGAGGGGGCGAGCGUUGUUCGGAAUCACUGGGCGUAAAGCGUGCGUAGGCGGUUAUACAAGUCAGGAGUGAAAUCCCAGGGCUAAACCUUGGAAUUGCUUUUGAGACUGUAUGACUAGAGAUCUAGAGAGGUUGUGGGAAUGCCGAGUGUAGAGGUGAAAUUCGCAGAUAUUCGGAGGAACACCAGUGGCGUAGGCGCCCAACUGGCUAGAUACUGACGCUGAGGCACGAAAGCGUGGGGAGCAAACAGGAUUAGAUACCCCGGUAGUCC
rnacentral:rRNA from 1 species